AUAUAGACCUGUAGCUUUCACACUCUUCAGUCGAUCAGCCAUGGACAAAGGUUUGCUGCUGGUCCUGUUGUGUCUGCAGGUCGUCCUGCUCACCACAGCCUUCACUUCUGCUGAUGAAGCCGCUCAGCUGAGAGAUGAUCAGCAUCAACCCCAGCCUGUUGAUCCGACGACAAGUGUGCAGCAAGUGAAAGAAAGAGGACAGACGGAGAAGAAACCCCGACUCUGCGGGAAGAGACGAGGAGCAUGUUCUGGGUCAUCACUCUGGCGACACGACAAUAGACGUCCAGACUCAGACGUCUAGAGUCAAGCUCUGCAGGAAGUGCCAUCAGACGUAGAAGAUAGCAAAUGAAUGAAGAUGAUUGUAAUGCUUACAAAAUAAUGCAAAUGCCUUUUUAUCAGAAAUAAAAGAUUUCAAAUCAGA